UAACUGAAGAGUUUGAUCCUGGCUCAGAUUGAACGCUGGCGGCGUGCCUAACACAUGCAAGUCGAGCGGUAACAGGUGUAGCAAUACAUGCUGACGAGCGGCGAACGGGUGAGUAA
rnacentral:rRNA from 1 species